UCUUCUCUGUCUGGUGGCCCUGACGACCGUGGUCAAUUCCAUGCAUCUUGACACAUGGAAUAGAACAAGAGGCAGCACCUAUUAAAUAUGACACAAGGACUUAUCCUCCUUACGAACAGCAACAACACCACUAUCGUCGCAGCUGUCGUCAUGACCUUCAUUGUCAACACAGAAAAUAUUGUAAAAUUGUGUCCUUCAUCCCCUAUAAGCUUGGCUACUGCUGUAUGCGCAGUAAUAGUGGAAGAUAAAAUUAGGGGAAGAAUGGAAAAAGGCAUAUGAUUGGCUGAUUGACAAAACCGCUUGAUAUUUCAAAUUAAUUUUAACUUGCAGUGA